rnacentral:rRNA from 1 species
GAACGGCAAGUUCUCUUCGGAGAGCCUAGAGUGGCGAACGGGUGCNUAACGCGUAUGCAACCUACCUUUUACUGGAGGAUAGCCCGGGGAAACCCGGAUUAAUACUCCAUGGCAUUGCGGGCUCACAUGGGCAUGCAAUUAAAGAUUUAUCGGUAAAAGAUGGGCAUGCGUGCCAUUAGCUAGUUGGUAGGGUAACGGCCUACCAAGGCAACGAUGGCUAGGGGGUCUGAGAGGAUGAUCCCCCACACUGGCACUGAGACACGGGCCAGACUCCUACGGGAGGCAGCAGUAGGGAAUAUUGGUCAAUGGGCGAGAGCCUGAACCAGCCAUGCCGCGUGAAGGAUGAAGGCGUUCUGCGUUGUAAACUUCUUUUAUCAGGGAAGAAAACGUCCAUGCGUGGAUAACUGACGGUACCUGAUGAAUAAGCACCGGCUAACUCCGUGCCAGCAGCCGCGGUAAUACGGAGGGUGCAAGCGUUGUCCGGAUUUAUUGGGUUUAAAGGGUGCGUAGGCGGAUAAUUAAGUCAGUGGUGAAAGCCGACAGCUCAACUGUCGAACCGCCAUUGAUACUGGUUAUCUUGAGUAUAGUUGAGGCAGGCGGAAUUUACGAUGUAGCGGUGAAAUGCAUAGAUAUCGUAAAGAACACCUAUAGCGAAGGCAGCUUGCUAAACUAUAACUGACGCUGAGGCACGAAAGCAUGGGGAGCGAACAGGAUUAGAUACCCUGGUAGAAUCACUAGUGAAUUC